GGUGCCAAGGGAAAAAGCGUCGGUCGCAGCCCCCGGCGCUGUCAGUUGUCUGGGUGCAACCGCGAGGACCGCCAGUCCAGUAGUGCCAACUGCCAAACACACAAAAAAAAGACGCGUCCGAACGAGCCAGCAACAUGCCGGCCAGGAACAAGGAGCAGGAGUCCGAGGUGCUGCAGUGGAUCGAGAGCGUGCUGGGCGAGAAGCUGCCCCCGGGGGAGUACGAGGACGUCCUGAGGGACGGCGUGGUGCUGUGCAACCUCAUCAACAAGAUCGUGCCCGGAUCCGUCAAGAAGAUACAGACCAAGGGCACCAACUUCCAGCUCAUGGAGAACAUACAGAGAUUCCAGGCGGCGCUGAAGAAGUACGGUGUGCCCGAAGAGGAGAUAUUCCAGACAGCUGAUCUGUUCGAGAGGAGGAACAUACCUCAGGUCACCCUCUGCCUGUACGCCCUGGGCAGACUGGUGAGUAUUCAACACGACUGCCGAGUGCCCCGACCUCUCUUGUUGGGUCCUUGCAUUGCACAUACUUCGAUCAAACCAAAAAAACACGACCACCAGGCCAGUAUGGAAUAAGUGCUCGUGGUGAGUAGUGGUUUUUAAAAUGGCUCCAUAUCUAUCUAUUUUGAGCGGUUUGCAUGCUUUUCCAACUUCUUCUUGAAUUCUCAAAUUUUAGCUUCAGGUCUCAUGUUUUUUUGUAUAUUUGGGGCCAAGUACUGUAAGAUUCAUCUCUGCAGUCCAUGUUGGAAUAGCUUCCAUUUUGCACGUCCCAAAGACAACCAUAGGGUAUCCGAAACUCGGGCAGGUCCAAAACUGCUAUCUUCUCUUAUUCAGAUACUUGACAUUUCACCUGUAGAACAAUGUCACAGCGCGCAGGUGACAAAUGCCAGCACACUGGUGUUGUCAACAUACAAGUUGGGUGGGCAAUGCUACACAGUUUACGAUCUGACAAACAAAAAGUGUUGGGCGUGAGAAGUUGGAUGGUUUGCUAAACGUAAAAGUCCAAUCGAUGGGUCCGACCAUUUCCACGAGACAACUACUCUACACACGAGUCAACCAUCAGGUCUGACAGUUUCCACGAGACAACUACUCUACACACGAGUCAACCAUCAGGUCUGACAGUUUCCACGACACAACUACUCUACACACGAGUCAACCAUCAGGUCUGACAGUUUCCACGACACAACUACUCUACAUACGAGUCAACUAUCAGGUCUGAGAGUUUCCACGACACAACUACUGUACACACGAGUCAACCAUCAGGUCUGACAUUUUCCAUGACAAAACUACUCUACACACGAGUCAACCAUCAGGUCCGACAAUGUUUGUCCCAACUGUUGGUUGGGCUGUCGUGUCAGACCAUGUGUAGGGCCCGUUAUAAUUUUAUAAAGGUUAUUUCAAAAUUUAAGGAAACCCUGCCUAGUUUUUUUGGCAUAUUUCACAUCAAAGUUACUUUGCAGCGAGUCUAAUGACUUACCACAAUGGUCGUUUUAAAAUGUGAAAUCGCUCGAAUCAAACAUUGUUAUUUAAUGUUCACACAGAAAACUAAGACAAGCUUAUUCACACCAGACAAACAAUAAA